rnacentral:rRNA from 1 species
CCUACGGGAGGCAGCAGUGGGGGAUAUUGCACAAUGGGCGCAAGCCUGAUGCAGCGACGCCGCGUGAGCGAAGAAGUAUUUCGGUAUGUUAAGCUCUAUCAGCCGGGAAGAAAAUGACGGUACCUGACUAAGAAGCUCCGGCUACAUACGUGCCAGCAGCCAUGGUAAUACGUAUGGAGCAAGCGUUAUCCGGAUUUACUGGGUGUAAAGGGAGCGUAGGCGGUUCUGUAAGUCUGCUGUUAAAAUUUGGGGCUCAACCCCAAACGUGCAUUGGACACUGCAGGGCUUGAGUGCCGGAGAGGCAGGCGGAAUGCGUAGUGUAGCGGUGAAAUGCGUAGAUAUUAGGAGGAACACCAGUGGCGAAGGCGGCCUGCUGGACGGUAACUGACGCUGAGGCUCGAAAGCGUGGGGAGCGAACAGGAUUAGAUACCCCUGUAGUC